rnacentral:rRNA from 1 species
AUGGGAGGUACAUUUCUUCUAAAGCUAAAUAUUGGCCAGAGACCGAUACCGAACAAGUAGAGUGAUCGAAAGAUGAAAAGCACUUUGGAAAGAGAGUCAAACAGCACGUGAAAUUGUUGAAAGGGAAGCGCUUGCAGCCAGACUUGCUUACAGUUGCUCAUCCGGGUUUUUACCCGGUGCACUCUUCUGUAGGCAGGCCAGCAUCAGUUUGGGCGGUAGGAUAAAGGUCUCUGUCACGUACCUCCUUUCGGGGAGGCCUUAUAGGGGAGACGACAUACUACCAGCCUGGACUGAGGUCCGCGCAUCUGCUAGGAUGCUGGCGUAA